AGUGAACGCUGGCGGUAGGCCUAACACAUGCAAGUCGAACGGCAGCACAGGAGAGCUUGCUCUCUGGGUGGCGAGUGGCGGACGGGUGAGGAAUACAUCGGAAUCUGCCCAGUCGUGGGGGAUAACGUAGGGAAACUUACGCUAAUACCGCAUACGACCUUCGGGUGAAAGAGGGGGAUCGCAAGACCUCUCGCGAUUGGAUGAGCCGAUGUCGGAUUAGCUAGUUGGCGGGGUAAUGGCCCACCAAGGCGACGAUCCGUAGCUAGUCUGAGAGGAUGAUCAGCCACACUGGAACUGAGACACGGUCCAGACUCCUACGGGAGGCAGCAGUGGGGAAUAUUGGACAAUGGGCGCAAGCCUGAUCCAGCCAUACCGCGUGGGUGAAGAAGGCCUUCGGGUUGUAAAGCCCUUUUGUUGGGAAAGAAAUCUUUCAGGCUAAUACCCUGGGAGGAUGACGGUACCCAAAGAAUAAGCACCGGCUAACUUCGUG
rnacentral:rRNA from 1 species